CAGGUCCAUGCCAAACUCUCUGGAUAUGAAGGAUUUGGUGCCAAGAGGAUUCCCUCCACACAGUAGACUUCAUGUGACAUGAGCUCGUGAUAUCCAGGAAGCAGUACACAAUCUACAAGCUUGCGUCUUAUGGUGGAAUGAGGCGGAAGCGCGGGCGCAAUGUGGCGGUGGUGGAUACAGAAACAUCCCCAAGGGCCUUUGCUUGGGUUGUAGUGCCGAUGCGGAUACUUGUGUCUUGACUGCUGGCUUUCUGUAGACGCCCGCGUUGAAAUUCGACUUUUUGUGGUCCGUUUUUGCGACUGUCCAGUCACCUUUGCAGGCAUCUCGAGCGAGGCGUUGACACUUGGCAGCUCAUUCUCGUUCACCUCAUCGGCCUGGUCAAGGUAGCAUUGCGCGGAAUGAUCAUCCGGUAUUCUUUCUGUUUCUACGUCGCGAGAAAUAAGUGGCGUUCUGAACGACCAGGCAGCCCUUACUGACAAGAAACAGAGAAGGCAAAAAUAGAUUGUCGUCAGGUACGAAUUCCAGUUGGUGAAAUACAGAAGCAUAGGCCAGCCCAGAUCCUUCUUUACGUCACGGGACGCAAGGACCUCGAGUACCAACAAAACAACACACAGAAAAAGUCGGAUGACGACCAGCGAAGCUACAUCAAUUAAGUUGGGGAAGUAUGAGGAAACAAAAACCUGCCGCCAGUCGCGGUGAUGUAAAUCACACGACCAAAAGCGCUUGGUGAGGCGGAUCUCGUAGCGCAGGCCGGAGUCUGUCGCAGGCAUGCAAAUCUCGGCAGCGGCCUCCAGUAUUUGAGGUUGUGCCCCGAGCUCGUGUUCGCGUUCCUCCAUCGUCUAAAAAAGCAGAUUCUCAUUCAAGUCACCUGCUGUCCAACCGACGUCUGUCUAUGUAGACCGCAGGCGGAUCGGUUAGAACAGUCUGAUUAGAUCAAUCUGAGUGUUGCCUCAGGUGUUUUUCCAAUUGGAGUCUAACGAACAGAACCGAAAAAACCAAGAGACAGGGAACGAUUUUUUCCAGAUAACAGUUUUCCGUAUUGCUCUGCUUGCCAAGCAAAUGACAAAAGAUGACGGACAAAGAAAGAAAAAAUGUUGAGGCAGAUGGUGUAACACAUUCGGAAGACAACGAUCGAUCCAAGACAAAGGCAGGAAUGUUCAAAGCAUUUUCCUCCAGACUACGUUUGGCUCGCGGUCGGUAGAGGCAAGCGUAUUUACCAAAGAAUGAUAUAUAUAAUGCGGAAGACCACACAUGUCAGCCAAGCAAAUCCGGACCAAAAAGGUUAAGCUGUCGUUGCCUGGUGUCUUGCAUCGUUGGUCAAAAAUGCAGCCAAACACACAUCGUUACUAGAACGGGAUGUAUAUGUUGCACUGCCAAUGCAGAAUGUUCUCAAGACGCUCCCAGGCAUCAGCAGCUAGAGAGACCGGAGAACGCUGAAACUGGAAAAAGAAAGACACAAAGUUGUUACCCAACGAAUGCUGUUCUUCUUCUUUGGUUCACGAUAACAUUUUUGUCUAAAGGAUGAGCGUCAGGGUGCCGUUCAAAAUAGAUGUUCGUUCUACCGUGGCCCGUCAGUGGCAGCUAGCCGACCGCAGAUUCGACGGUCUCGCCACGCUGUGUUUUCUCUUUCUUCGAUGCCCAUCAUUAUGCCCGGUCACACUCCAGAAGUUCGAGAAACAGCCUGCUGAUUGCGAAUAUGGUCCCCCAAUCAAAACGGAUGCGGUGGGAGCAUCAUCGUUUUUCCCCUCAACGCAGAGUCGAACGACUCCCGAGACUUCCUUGGAGAACUGGAUUUCACGCUACCACUGUCUGCGAU
rnacentral:lncRNA from 1 species